AACGCGUGGGAAUAUGCCCAAAGGUACGGAAUAGCCUCUGGAAGCGGAGAGUAAUACCGUAUGUGCCCUUCGGGGGAAAGAUUUAUCGCCUCUGGAUUAGCCCGCGUAAGAUUAGAUAGUUGGUGGGGUAAUGGCCUACCAAGUCUACGAUCUUUAGCUGGUUUGAGAGGAUGAUCAGCAACACUGGGACUGAGACACGGCCCAGACUCCUACGGGAGGCAGCAGUGGGGAAUCUUAGACAAUGGGCGCAAGCCUGAUCUAGCCAUGCCGCGUGAGUGACGAAGGCCUUAGGAUCGUAAAGCUCUUUCGCCAGAGAUGAUAAUGACAGUAUCUGGUAAAGAAACCCCGGCUAACUCCGUGCCAGCAGCCGCGGUAAUACGGAGGGGGUUAGCGUUGUUCGGAAUUACUGGGCGUAAAGCGUACGUAGGCGGAUUAAUCAGUCAGAGGUGAAAUCCCAGGGCUCAACCCUGGAACUGCCUUUGAUACUGCUAGUCUUGAGUUCGAGAGAGGUAAGUGGAAUUCCGAGUGUAGAGGUGAAAUUCGUAGAUAUUCGGAGGAACACCAGUG
rnacentral:rRNA from 1 species